rnacentral:rRNA from 1 species
GACGAACGCUGGCGGCGUGCUUAACACAUGCAAGUCGAACGGACAGGCCCUGCUUUUGUGGGGUGCUCGAGUGGCGAACGGGUGAGUAACACGUGAGUAACCUGCCCUUGACUUUGGUAUAACUUCAGGAAACUGGGGCUAAUACCGGAUAGGAGCUCCUGCUGCAUGGUGGGGGUUGGAAAGUUUCGGCGGUUGGGGAUGGACUCGCGGCUUAUCAGCUUGUUGGUUGGGUAGUGGCUUACCAAGGCUUUGACGGGUAGCCGGCCUGAGAGGGUGACCGGCGACAUUGGGACUGAGAUACGGCCCAGACGCCUACGGGAGGCAGCAGUGGGGAAUAUUGCACAAUGGGCGGAAGCCUGAUGCAGCAACGCCGCGUGCGGGAUGACGGCCUUCGGGUUGUAAACCGCUUUCGCAGGUGACGAAGCGUGAGUGACGGUAAUGGGUAAAGAAGCACCGGCUAACUACGUG